AUCAACUUUCGAUGGUAGGAUAGAGGCCUACCAUGGUGGUAACGGGUAACGGGGUGUUAGGGCACGACACCGGAGAGGGAGCCUGAGAAACGGCUACCACAUCCAAGGAUGGCAGCAGGCGCGCAAAUUACCCAAUCCCGACACGGGGAGGUAGUGACAAUAAAUAACAAUACGGGGUUCUUUAGGAUCUCGUAAUUGGAAUGAGUACAAUUUAAAUCUCUUAACGAGGAACAAUUGGAGGGCAAGUCUGGUGCCAGCAGCCGCGGUAAUUCCAGCUCCAAUAGCGUAUAUUAAAGUUGUUGCAGUUGAAAAGCUCGUAGUUGAAUUUCGGGGUUAGUAGGUUGGUCAUGCCUCUGGUAUGUACUGGUCUCACUGAUUCCUCCUUCCUGAUGAGCCGUAAUGCCAUUAAUUUGGUGUUGCGGGGAAUUUGGACUGUUACUUUGAAAAAAUUAGAGUGUUUAAAGCAAGCUAACGCUUGAAUACAUUAGCAUGGAAUAAUGAAAUAGGACGUUCGAUCCUAUUUUGUUGGUUUCUAGGAUUGACGUAAUGAUUAAUAGGGAUAGUUGGGGGCAUUAGUAUUCAAUUGUCAGAGGUGAAAUUCUUGGAUUUAUUGAAGACUAACUACUGCGAAAGCAUUUGCCAAGGAUGUUUUCAUUAAUCAAGAACGAAAGUUAGGGGAUCGAAGACGAUCAGAUACCGUCGUAGUCUUAACCAUAAACUAUGCCGACUAGGGAUCGGAUGAUGUUAAUUUUUUAAUGACUCAUUUGGCGCCUUACGGGAAACCAAAGUGUUUGGGUUC
rnacentral:rRNA from 1 species